GAUGACCAUAGCAAGUUGGUACCACUCCUUCCCAUCCCGAACAGGACAGUGAAACGACUUAGCGCCGAUGAUAGUGCGGAUUCCCGUGUGAAAGUAGGACAUCGUC
rnacentral:rRNA from 1 species